rnacentral:tRNA from 1 species
ACACCAUUAACUCAACGGUUAGAGUACCUGCAUUAUAUGCGGUUAGUUCGGGGUUGAAAUCCCUGAUGGUGUACCA